ensembl:lncRNA
AUUACCUUCAUCAUACAAUCACUUAAAAAUCAUGGAAUACUUACUCUUUAAGAUUCUGGAGGGGAAUCUGGUCUAUUCUUGAGUUACGGAAAGUCCCUGGUUUUAGGAUAUGAAUAUGUAUGUUUCUUUGGUUCCACUUGCCUUAUCAAAGAUGAAUGAAAUGUACUUUCUCAAAUAUGUUCCCCAUGAAUUUUUCCCCAUCCUUGAUCCCAGCCCAAGAAGUAAUACAUUCUUUCAGUUUGAAACUUGCUAUAUCCAUCCAGUGAAGGUGGUCGUCCUUUUGCUGUAUAAAAAUUGGAGUGCUUUAGGCAUUGUUGAGUCCAGAUAAAUACAAGAUAAUUCUGGCUAUUUGAUUAAAUAUGGUGGGGUGGAAUUGUGGGGAAAAGGGAAGAGAAGGAAUUUAAAAAGGGAAGUACACUUUAAAGAAAAGCAAUGGCGAUCUUAUGUAGGAUUUCAUGCAGAACUUUAUAAACUUUUUAUCCAAAGCAUUGUGUUAAGUGUAAGUCAUUUCAGUUGCAUCCAACUCUUUGCGAUCCUAUAGACUGCUGCCCGCCAGCCUCUCCCCUGUCCAUGGGGUUCUCCAGGCAAGAAUACCGGAGUGAGUUGCUGUGCCUUCCUCCAAGGGAUCUUUCCUACCCAGGAGUCGAAACCCACGUCUCUUAAGUCUCCUGCACAGAUUCUUGACCACUAGUGCCACCUGGGAAGCCCUGUCCAAAGCAAAUAUUUACCAAAAGCGCCAUGAGGCCUUUUUGGGGGUCAAAUAAGUAGACUCCCCCAGACUUGUUGUUCUUGCAAAUGCUAACUUAUCUUGUACUAUCUAAUUAUCUCAGUUCUGUGUAGUGGCCUGAUGAUGACAGGCCCACAACCAAAGUUCCCUUAUAUUGCAUUUGGGGACAGAAGUGAAAUAGCCAUGUUAUCUGAAACUUGGUAUGUAUACAGGUAGUGAUUAGAGCCUGUGAAUCUUGUGAUAAUAAUUAUUGCAGUAAUCUAUGACUUCUCUCCUGAAAGAUUUCCCAGAUUCGUCUGUGCGGAUUAACAUUCAUUGUCUUAUCAAGAUGCUGGCUCUGAGUCUCUGGCUAUGAAAGGGUUUAUACUGAUGCCUGGCGACUGAUUUUGAUAAAAGCAAGUAACAGAGAAAGAAAAAUAUUUCUUUCACCCUAGUCUGUCAUCACACCAGGAAAGUAUGCCCCUGGAUCCAUACCACUUAAAACCUUAUCCUGUUUGGUUGAGACUGGAGCACCUGACAGUGUGUGAACCAGGAGGACAGAACUCUCAUAAGCUUUUCAAACCACCAACCUUUAGGAAGUGCCUACUAUAGCGGGGACUCUCCUUCUUAGAACUGAGUUUUCCAUGUUGGAAACAACUUGGCAAACUCAAAAGGUCCUAAUCAAUGCUGGCAGUCAAAGACCAAAAGCUAUAGCAUUAAAAGGGACAGACUAGCAAGUGGAACCUCCCAUUACAGAAAGAAGAGGUGAAGUUAGAACUGCCCUUUUAUCCUUACACCUAGAUGAAAUGUCCAUCUAUGAACUCAACUCCCAAGAUAGUAACGUGGGAAUCGGAUUAUAAGAUGGGCUGCUCCAAUUUCAAGGACAGAAGGCUGCUGUGCCCAUGCAAGCCUCUGAUUCUGUGGGCUUGGGUUUAUUUAUUUAUUUAUUUAUUUUUUGGGUUAGUUCGGCCACCAAGCUCAAGUUUUGCUAUUAGGAUUUUCAAAUUUAAAAUGCCAAUGAUAGGUCUCAACCCUUUUCUUCUUUUCUAGGCCCUGGCAAAGAGCAAUCACAGACCACAUGUUCCCAUGAUCAUUUCAGGGUUGUGUGUAAUUUUGGAUACACUCCGUUCUCUCCUGGGAGAAACAUAUUAGAACUUAGGAGGGAACAGUAAUGGUGUUGUAAGUAGCCUAUCUCUGUAUGUAAAGAAGUUAACUCUCCACACACCACGGUACCUACUAUAGCCUUGAUGCCACCCAGGGUCACCUGAGAGCUCAAGAGCUGGACCGAGCAGACCGCCAUUCUUCUGGUGUGACAAAGUCCAGAGUCAUUCUCAAGUUUUCUCACGUCCCUAGGCAGCACACCCUCUCCUCUGAGCUCUGCCCUUGAACCCUACCUCUGCUGGAUGAGGCCUACUGGGUUAGCAUUGUAGUAGCCUGCGUGGACUGUGCCACCCAGCCCUGGAGCUGGGCCUUAUCUGCAUUUUGGCAUCUUCUCUCAUAGAAGUAGAAGCAUCUCUUUGUGCAUCUGGCUUUAGCAAAGGAACAAGAAGAUGCAGGAGACUGACAUUGCAGCAGCCAAGACAUUGUGAAUUCUUAGGAAUUUUUUUUUUUUUUUUUCAAUGCUUUGGUCACUUCUGGAUCCCAAGCCCUGCUGCUAGUGCCAAAGGACAAGGCGCAUUUCAUCCUCACCGGGUUCCUGGCCUGGAAAAUGGAGUUGAGAAUACAUCCAACCUUUUAGCUCUGAAAUUCAACCUCUGAAAGUAGAUUUGGGGUUUUCUUCCAUCCAGGUUUGGCAAAAACAUUUUUGGCAGUCAAACCUGACCUGAUGUGAAGAAGCAGGCUUCUUCUUUCUGUGUCUGUCCACACAUGGUACUGCAGGAAUGUUCACGCGGUUGAGUUCCAGUCCCCAGGAAAGGCAUUCAUACCAUGUGAUACAUGAUCCGUAUAGACUCUCCAACAUCUGAAAAGUGCUGAAUUGCAGAAACUCAAGUGGCCCUUAGGUGUGGAAUAGAGUUAUCCAACUCAGAAGGUAUUGUUGUUUAUCGCUAGGUCACGUCCAACUCUUUGCGACCCCUUGGACUGCAGCCCGCCAGGCUCCUCUGUCCAUGCAAUUUCCCAGGCAAGAAUACUGGAGUGGGUUGCUAUUUCCUUCUCCAGGGGAAUCUUCCUGACCCAGGCAUCGAACCUAUGUCUUCUGCACCGGUAGGUGGAUUCUUUACCUCUGAGCCUACCAGGGAAACCCUCAGAGGGCAUUAGGAGGGAGAGCUAAUAGCUGUGAGGGGGUUAGAGGAUGGUCAUUU